AUGAUACUCCCUACGUCCGGAGAUACUUGUCGGAGGAAUGGAUGUAUCUAGACGUAUUUUAGUUUUGGAUACAUCCAUUUUUAUCCAUUUCUCUGACAAGUAUUUCUAGACGAAGGGAGUAUAAU
rfam:Triticum aestivum genome assembly, contig: Triticum_aestivum_CS42_TGACv1_scaffold_487015_6AS